rnacentral:lncRNA from 1 species
AUUUUGGAAGGCAGGCUAGCAAAGAAGUCAGAUGGCUCUCUGGGAUGUCUGGUUCCCUCGGUGAGAGAGAAUCAUGUACUAGACUGUGUUGCAAGAUGUUUCAAGUCUUGGACAUUGGUUACACAAAAGAUUGAACAGUGAUAUAUUUGCCUCACAGUAGCAGCAACAGCUACAUCCUUGAUAACCCAUUCUGAGUCCUCUUUCAAGCGUAGGAGAAAUGAUCCAAACUGGGAUUUUUAAAAUUCAAAUAUUGUGCUUAUUACAAUAUUCCAAGACCUUAUAGAAGAACUCAAACUUCCUUUAAGGAACCAAAACAUGUCUACUUAGUAUCUAAUGUAUGCAAAAACCUAUGCUAAGUAGGCAUAAAAUGUGGAGCAUUGCAAAAAGUCUCAUUACAGUUGUAAGCUUUAAACUUAAUAAAUUAAAAGUGCUCUGAAACUCUUUAGGAUAUCCUGUACUGAGAGGACACAUUCCUUUUUUCAGCCAAAAAGGGUGGGGAAAGAUGUACUUGUUCAAUAGACUCUGACCCUUCGUGAUCCUGUCUGGUGUUUUCUAGGCAGAGAUUCCUUCUCCAGCUUAUUUUACACAGGAGGAAACUGAGGCAACAGGGGAGAACCUGGAGCAUCUCCCCAACCAUAGGGAAUUCAUCUUUCCUUUGGAAUUUGUGCUGGACUGCCUCCCUGACAGUGGCCAACACCUUUAAUGAGAAGCUUGGAGGAUCUUGGACUAGUACUUCACCUUGGAGAUACAACUUGGGACUUUGACCUGGGACUCUGGAUGGUGGACUUCUUCUGGGUCCUUGAGAACUGCAGGCAUCCGAAAUUUCAUCACAACCUCCUGAGGAGCUUCUCUGAAUUUAGCUCAUCUGGAUUCCAAGACAACAGACCUGUAGAUCAUUGCCAAGGUCAUCUUUGGAACUUCUCUAGCUUGAUGGAGACUUCCAAAGUUUGCCCUGUCUCAGAAAAACCUUCAAGAAUCCAUGGCCACUUCAACCCCCCCAAUAAGGUUUUUGGGGAAGAUAUUAAUGGAAAAUAAUUUAAAGGGUAUUCUAAAGUGUUAUGUGUUAUUAUUGUGAUUGACCAUAAUUAUCAACAUUAAACCAGAUUUGUCUAACUUCUGUAUCUGUUUGA